UAGCUCAGUGGUAGAGCACAUGCUUAGCACGCAUGUGGUCCUGGGUUCAGUCCCCAG
rnacentral:tRNA from 1 species